AUCAGAUGUUUCGUUCCUCUGCUCUCCCUCUCCGAUGGCUGUGGGCCUGUGGCAGAUAAUUAGAAAGAAAGGAGACGAAAGGUUGCUGACUUGAAGCCCAGGAUUAAGAAAAACCCAACUCUCACUAGCUCUCCCUCAUCCCAAUCAGCACCACCACUUACCUUUUGAUCGAACAACACUUCAAAGCACUAUUUUAUACAGAGACAUGGAUCUUAAUGACCUCAACAAAGUAUGGGAAAUCAAACCAUUGAAAAAGAUUGGAGAAGAAGAUGCAAGGAAAGUCCUUGAAAGGGUAGCAAAACAAGUACAACCCAUCAUGAAAAAACGCAAAUGGAAAGUCAAAAUCUUGUCUGAAUUCUGUCCUGCAAAUCCAGCUCUUUUGGGGCUGAAUAUAGGAGGAGGUGCAGAGGUUAAAUUGAGAUUGAGGAGACCAAAUAAUGAGUGGGAUUUCUUUCCUUAUGAGCAAGUUCUUGAUACUAUGUUGCAUGAGCUUUGCCACAAUGAGUAUGGACCUCAUAAUUCUGGUUUUUACAACCUUCUUGAUGAAAUUAGAAAGGAAAGCGAGGAACUGAUGGCUAAAGGAAUUACUGGAACUGGGGAAGGAUUUGAUCUUCCUGGGAGACGGUUGGGUGGGUUCUCCCGUCAACCACCUCUGUCAUUAUUGCGCCAGUCUGUUUUGGCUGCCACAGAGAACAGAGCACGUCGCGAUGCUCUCUUGCCAUCAGGUCCUAAACGUGUAGGUGGUGACAGCAAUAUUAAGGCUGCGCUCAGCCCAAUACAAGCUGCUGCCAUGGCUGCAGAAAAGAGAUUACAAGAUGACUUGUGGUGUGGUUCCAAAUCUUCAGACAGUGUCGUUGCUGUCAAUGGAAAUAUUGAACGUCCUGAAGGGUCAAGCACUUCCAUAAGUUCCAAGGGCAUAGCCACCCAAAUUUCGCCUGGGACAUCCAUGAGUGCUCGGGAACCAAUACAUGAUCAUCCAACAUGGCAGUGUAAUACCUGUACUCUAUUGAAUCAGGUUUCACUGAUUGGUUGAGGCUGCAAAUGAUUUUCAACUGUUUUGAGUCCCUAAGCUAUCCUUCUCUGCACGAGUCAUUUCUGACCUAACUGUGUCGCUCAAUACUGCCACUUGCACCCUUCAAAGUCAGAGCAUUGCCUGGCAAUCAAUUUGGGGCAGGUUUGGGUGUUGUGCUCCUGCUUUGUCAACGAGCUAAUGUCCACUUUUGAGAGAAGUUCAUGUGUUUAAAGGAGUCCGCAUUUGAUGAUGUAACCGGCUGUGUUGGAAAGGUUUCUUAAAGUGGAUUUAAACUAAAAAACAACAUCCAAAUUUCAAAGUAAAAAGGUCCAAGUGUGUAAUCAAGCAGGGAGGAGGAAUCAAAGCUGCGAUGGUCAAAUAUAGCUUAGGGUAGAUCUUGAAAAAGCAAGGACAAGCUUCCCUGCUCUAAUGGAUUUUUGUAUUGGCAACAAGAACGGCUUUCAAUUAAUUCUAGUAUUUUGCUGCGAUUACAGCACCUGAUAUGCGUAGCUGGUGCGAUAAGGUGGGCUGCUACACAAUGU